rnacentral:lncRNA from 1 species
UUAGGUGUGUGUAUGGGUUUUCCUCACCUUCUCCUCAGAAAGGUUGUUUUUGAACAAAUUCUAUGUAUUUGGGGUCUAUCUCAAAACUAGAUGCUAUGAUAGGCUUUGAAGAUUUUGGUGGUUCGAGAUGUGUGCCCGUAGGUCUAUGAAAUUCAUAGAUAGACAUGUUUGAAUUCAUGAUAGACCAGAGAUCAAGGAUUAGAUAAGAAGAAAGAUUAGCAGAGAUGAGGCAAAGGAUAAAAGGAAAAUAUUUUUUAUUUUUUUUAGAAAAUGAUUAAGCUAGUUCGUAGUCAACUCAGCAACCGUUUCCCCGGCAACGGCGCCAAAAAUGCUUGUUGACACUUGCUAACACCACUUGAAUACUAGGUUGUCAUCCCCAGCAUGGCACUAGAGUGUACUAUGGUAUUUAUACGCACACAGAUAAUCCACAAGCGCACGGAUACCGGUGAAGCUUUUGCCCGGUUAAAGGUUUUAUCGUAUCCAUAGGGAAACAGGAGAACUGAUCUACGCUCUAACUUAACCAAGAUAAGUAAAUAGGUGUAAAUAGGAAAGAUGGUAGAAUCGAAUAAGAACAAUAUUAAAGAUAACAGUGAGUGAUAAUAUGGGAAUAGAGAAUAGAGCAAUUCUAGUAUAUGGGCGAUGGUAGUAGAAUAGAGAGAAUAACUAUGGUUUCUCUACUUCAAUGGGGUAUGUCUAUGUCUGGGAUGAACCACGUGAUAAGAGUACACCACAAAGGAUGCUUAUCCUUAGGCCGAUAAACCCUACCUGUCCUACUAACGAGAGGUGGACUAUAGAGGACCAAUGUAACUGUCACCUACGCGGCCCACCACAUGAUCCAGCUAGACAGGGGAUAUCCACAAGUAAUCUAGAUCUAAGCACCUCACUUACACCUAUACUACA